GUGCCAGCCGCCGCGGUAAUACGUAGGGGGCAAGCGUUAUCCGGAAUUAUUGGGCGUAAAGAGUGCGUAGGUGGUUAUGUAAGCGCAGGGUGAAAGGCAAUAGCUCAACUAUUGUAAGCCUUGCGAACUGCAUGACUUGAGUGCAGGAGAGGAAAGUGGAAUUCCUAGUGUAGCGGUGAAAUGCGUAGAUAUUAGGAGGAACACCAGUGGCGAAGGCGACUUUCUGGACUGUAACUGACACUGAGGCACGAAAGCGUGGGGAGCAAACAGGAUUAGAAACCCGUGUAGUCC
rnacentral:rRNA from 1 species